rnacentral:rRNA from 1 species
UACGUAGGUGGCAAGCGUUGUCCGGAUUUACUGGGCGUAAAGGGCGCGUAGGCGGACAGUUAAGUUGGGGGUGAAAGCCCGGGGCUCAACCUCGGAAUUGCCUUCAAUACUGGCUGUCUUGAGUGUGAGAGAGGUGUGUGGAACUCCGAGUGUAGAGGUGAAAUUCGUAGAUAUUCGGAAGAACACCAGUGGCGAAGGCGACACACUGGCUCACUACUGACGCUGAGGCGCGAAAGCGUGGGGAGCAAACAGG